CAACGCAAUACCAGUAUUACAUAGUUAGGCAGCACUUUCUUAAUACACAGUACAUACAAGUAGGUAGCUUGGUCUAUAAUGACCCUAAUCUAAGAAUUUGUUUGCCGGUUUAAUCAUCAAUUUUCAUCACCAAUUGUCGUCACGUGGUCACAAAAGAGCAGUUAUCCGAAAAACAUACCUACUGUUUACAGGUACCGAUGAUCCUUAAAUAAUUGAAGAAGCUCUUGAAUAGUUGAAUGGAAAUCUGUGCUCAAAUAAAGCUGCGGGGUUUUCACGGUGCAAUAUUCAGUGCAUUGGAUAAGCAAUUUACACAGGUAUCAAAUAGUCCCACAUUCGCUCCAUUCUCUCUGGUAAUUUUUAGGGUUCUGUGGAACCUUAAUAAUCAAUUUCCCCAUUUUUCACCAGCUCUCAUAUUUUAGAUUUAUUUUCGGGAAUACUAAAGUCGUGUUUCGAACUCUAAAACGUAAGUAACGUCGCU
rnacentral:lncRNA from 1 species